rnacentral:rRNA from 1 species
GUGAACCUGCGGAAGGAUCAUUACCGAGUGCGGGUCUUUAUGGCCCAACCUCCCACCCGUGACUAUUGUACCUUGUUGCUUCGGCGGCCCGGCCAGCGUUGCUGGCCGCCGGGGGGCGACUCGCCCCCGGGCCCGUGCCCGCGGAGACCCCAACAUGAACCCUGUUCUGAAAGCUUGCAGUCUGAGUGUGAUUCAUUGCAAUCAGUUAAAACUUUCAACAAUGGAUCUCUUGGUUCCGGCAUCGAUGAAGAACGCAGCGAAAUGCGAUAACUAAUGUGAAUUGCAGAAUUCAGUGAAUCAUCGAGUCUUUGAACGCACAUUGCGCCCCCUGGUAUUCCGGGGGGCAUGCCUGUCCGAGCGUCAUUGCUGCCCUCAAGCCCGGCUUGUGUGUUGGGCCCUCGUCCCCCGGCUCCCGGGGGACGGGCCCGAAAGGCAGCGGCGGCACCGCGUCCGGUCCUCGAGCGUAUGGGGCUUCGUCUUCCGCUCCGUAGGCCCGGCCGGCGCCCGCCGACGCAUUUAUUUGCAACUUGUUUUUUUCCAGGUUGACCUCGGAUCAGGUAGGGAUACCCGCUGAACUUAAGCAUAUCAAUAAGCGGAGGAAAAGAAACCAACCGGGAUUGCCUCAGUAACGGCGAGUGAAGCGGCA